GAACUUUAUCUCGGGCGGGGCUCGCAAAACAAGGGAUUGACCCUUAAAAUUUAUUGAUGCAAGAUUGAUGAACUCAGAAUAUAAAUCCCAGUACCCAGAUGAAUAAUACAUCUAAAAAUCUCAAAAAAUUAAGAAAAUUGUCGGCAAAAAAUAAACGAUUUUAUGUCCGCAAAAUUUUUUCCGGCACCAAAUGAACCAUUUAAUUUGUCCGGCGCCAUAUGUCGUGAAAAUUUUUUGAUC